rnacentral:rRNA from 1 species
CCUACGGGAGGCAGCAGUGGGGAAUAUUGCACAAUGGGGGAAACCCUGAUGCAGCGACGCCGCGGGAGUGAAGAAGUAUUUCGGUAUGUAAAGCUCUAUCAGCAGGGAAGAAAAUGACGGUACCUGAUUAAGAAGCCCCGGCUAAAUACGUGCCAGCAGCCGCGGUAAUACGUAGGGGGCAAGCGUUAUCCGGAUUUACUGGGUGUAAAGGGAGCGUAGACGGCAGCACAAGUCUGGAGUGAAAUGCCGGGGGUUAACCCCCGAACUGCUUUGGAAACUGUGCAGCUAGAGUGCAGGAGAGGUAAGUGGAAUUCCUAGUGUAGCGGUGAAAUGCGGAGAUAUUAGGAGGAACACCAGUGGCGAAGGCGGCUUACUGGACUGUAACUGACGUUGAGGCUCGAAAGCGUGGGGAGCAAACAGGAUUAGAUACCCGAGUAGUC